UCACCCCGACCCCUCCCAGUCCAGUGCCCUAACUCUGCCCUCACUCUUUGCCACUUUCCCAAGCCCUGAAGUGUAUCCAGGGAGGGGGAUGGGAGAGGUGUUUAAAGAACGAAUCUCAUUGCAAUCAGAAUUUAUCCGUGUCUCCAGCACACACGCCGACAGUUUUGCAGUCAUGAUGUUGAUGAUAAGGAUUUGGACCAGUUACCUUGGCAGGGUCAAAACUGCAGCAGGUUAAUCAGCGUCGGUCCGCACUCCCUGUGACCCAGGACGUCAUGAUGCCUGUCUGUUUUCUCAAUGAUAACUUGGCAGAAGAAGAGAGAGGCUGCCAGGUUCUCCUCGGGUGGUUACGUGGCAGAGAAGCGGCACCAAGACAGCGAGGAGCAUCCACCCCGGGCCAGACACUCAUGUUCGCGGCUCCUACUUG